rnacentral:lncRNA from 1 species
CGGUCAAUAUAUAGAUGUAACAAUCACAAGUAUGCAGGGGUAAGGUAAUUAUAGGCUAGGGGGGCAAAUGUAAGAUAUGGUAUUCAAAGUAACCUUAUAUCAAACUACAACAGUGUUCACCAACAGAGAAAAAAAAAUCCUUUCAAUGUCUAAAAAACAAUUUUCUAUACCACUUCAACGUCCUAAUAAAUGACCUCAAUCAAGACACAAACUACAAUAUUGUACCACAAUAAAUCAACACUACUAAAUCCCAAUCAAUCAACACUAUUGUAUGAUUUUUUUUUUUUUAAAUCCAAAUGAAAACAAAUCUAACACACCGCAAAUCGCCAAAUCAAAC